rnacentral:lncRNA from 1 species
UGAUUGAGUGUGUUUAUGGACUUGUAGCCGGGGAGAUACCGGAGCAGCAGCAGUUAGCCCUUAGAGCUAUUCACUCAGCAGCCAGUUCACGAGGUGAGUUUCCCUUCAGUAGGAACGGGUCUACGGCCGCAAUGCCGGCCCGUGUAAUUAUCAGUAGUUCUGGUCUUUAGUCUGAUGCAGUAGCUAGAGUGCUUGAUGUCUUUGUGAUUCAAGCAUAUUCGAGUAUGUGUUCCGGACUUCGGUCCGAUGCAGUAUGCAGUAUAUGUGAUUAUAAUAGUUGUUAUGUGUUAUGCUAUGUCAUGAUCAGUCAGUUCCGGACUUCGGUCCGAUGCAGUCAGUUCCGGACUUCGGUCCGAUGCAGUUAGUUCCGGACUUCGGUCCGAUGCAGUCAGUUCCGGACUUCGGUCCGAUGCAGUUAGUUCCGGACUCUGGUCCGAUGCAGGGGACAAGGUCCCAGUCAGUUCCGGACUUCGGUCCGAUGCAGCUAGUUCCAGACCUCGGUCUGAUGCAGUGGGCAAGGCCCAGUAUGUGAUUUAUAUUUAUUGUAUGGUAUGUGGUAAUUUGGGGGAGCUCACUAAGCUUCGUGCUUACAGUUUCAGUUUUGGUUUCAGGUACUUCCGCUUGUAGAGGGAAGAGCUCGGGAUGAUGGCAUCGCACACACCACAGCUUCAGCUUUUAUCCUGGGAGUUGAUUUGGUUCUUGAUUUUUAUAUGACAUGGAUAUGAUACAGUUUUCCGCACAGUGUUUUUAUUAUUAUUUUGAGAUACAUCAUGUAUGGUUUAUGAUAUGACACUCAGAUUAUGGUUUUUGGUUAUGUUGAAAAACGAAAUUUUUGGGUCGUAUUUUUGGGUCGUUUCAAGUUGGUAUCAGAGCCCUGGUUUGAGGGAUUCGGAUACACUUCCGGGUGUAUCUGAACUCAAACUAAGGGGAAAUAAAAAGUUUUUUAAAAGGAAAAUGUUUUCUAAAAGAAUUUUGAAAGCACUUAGAAAGAAAGAAAUUUUUAAACAAGAUAAGGGUGUGGUGCAUGCGAUCAGCCGAGCUCAAGUAAGUACUCCCAAAUUACCCAUACAAGUUAUUUGUUCAGUUUCAGUUUCAGUAGAACAGCAUGCUAGUAUAGGACUAAGGAUCUAGGAGGAUGCCUUAUGUGCCUGCUUUAUGUGUUACAGCUUUAUGAGUAUUGCAUGCUAGUAUUGAGUAGACAGCAGUAGGAUAGCCUGUUUAGGUUAUGCCUGAUAGUAUGAGCUUAGCACUGUAUGCUAGAUCAGUUUCUCGUUUUGAGAAUAGUUUUGCCUGAGUAUGUUUCCUUUAUCCGAAUGCUGCUUGCUUCGUGCUUUGUGGGAGUUCUGAGUGAUGGAAGUUAGCCAUUAGGUGAACACGUUACACCACAUGUGAUCAGGGUUGAAUAAUCCCAGAGUGCUGGAACUGGCCCUAUUGCGCAGCUCUUGUUUGAGUCCAACCGUUAUAGGGACGGGUCUUUUACUUGAAGGAUUAUCUGAUCUUCGUCACAUGUGAUGGUGUUCAGGUGAUGGUUAAUUAGCAUUAUAAGGAGACCUGCAGCAGCUGAGGACUAGUUGAGUUAAGUCUGAGGUUUCCCUGGGGCAAGCCUAGGAUGAGAGUAGCAGAGAUCAGUAGUAGUAGAAGUGACUUGGUGGAGUCAGGGCAGUUCUUGAAGAAAGUACGGAUAGAUGUGGAAGGUAGUAUGGGCCCGUACUACUGGAAGCAGAGGAUCCGUACUCGAAUCAAGAAAGGCUGAGACAAGACCAGGAAGCUAGUUGUAGUAUCAAUGAUCCCUCGAGAUAUUUCUGUUUUCUGAUGUAGUUGUGAUGUGUUUCAGAAUGGUGGUUUUGCGUUCGAGACCAGCAGCCGGCAGCGGAGGUGCCGGGGAGGGAUCAGGUUCAGGUUCGGGGGAUGAGCGCAUGGAUGAGCAGACCCGAGAGUUUCUUUCUUCGGAGAUUACGCGCAUCAUUAUAGAGCAGACUCCUGUGAUCUUCGGUUCGAUCAAGGAGGGGAUUCUAGAGCUGAUGGAUGAGAGAUUGGGCACCUUCCGUGCCGAGGUGGCGGCCAUGAUGGGGUCGCGCACCCUUACUUUCAGGGAGUUCAGGGCAUGUGGAGCUCCGGACUAUCAUGGGGCGCGAGACCCCAUAGCGAGCACCAGAUGGUUGGCGGAUGUGGCCAACGCUUUCCGCACUAGCAGAUGUCCCGAGGGGGACAAGGUCAGAUUGGCGUCCUGUCUUCUGAAGGACAGGGCACGAGAUUGGUGGGAGGAGGUCGGGCAUGCCAUUGGGGAUGAUGCAGCAUUGGACGCCAUGACCUGGGCUGAUUUCUCUACCAGGUUCAGGGCGGAGUUUGCACCGGUCAUUGAGGUGCAACAGCUAGCUAGGGAGUUUCAGGACCUCACCCAGACUACAGAGACAGUGGCGGAGAUCACCGCCAAGUUCAGGGAGAGGGCUCUUCUCGUUCCUCAGUAUGUAGCUGAUGAGGAAAUGAAGAAGGCCCGUUAUCAUGAGAUGUUGCGGAGCGAUAUCCGCCAGUUUGUGAGCCGGUCCAGCUGUAAAACGCUGGAAGAUAUGAUUGCUAGGGCUCGGGAGAGGGAGAUUGAUCUCGAGAUGGAGAAGAAGAGGAAACCGGAGGCGGUUUCGGGUUCAGGCGGUUCGGGCAAAAAGCCCAAGGUUUCGGAUCACAGAUCUAGGAGUCAGCAGAGCCACGGUCGAUGUGGCAAGUGUGGGAGAUUGCACGAGGGAGCGUGCAAGGCAGGGAGUUCCGGCUGCUACAAGUGCGGUCGGAUUGGGCAUUUGAGUAGGGAUUGUACGGCCCCUGCUACUGCCGUCGCAGCAUCAGAUCUGAUUUGCUUUCAGUGCAAUCAGAGGGGACAUAAAAAGUCCCAGUGUCCGAGUUUAGCUGCAGCAGGGAAGGUGGCUGCACCUGCCCCUGCUACUUUGAGGAUUACAGAUGGCCGGCAGGGCCGAGCUGAUGCGCCAGUGGCGAAGAGUAGGGCGUUUCAGAUGACAACAGAGGAGGCGCGAGCGACUCCUGAUGUGGUGACGGGUAUGUAUCUUCCCUUUAUCUCUUUAUUAUUAUUGAUUGAAUAUUGCUUAUGAUUGUAUGUUUUAUUCAGGGUCGUUCUCUGUGAACGGCAUUUCUGCUAUGGUAUUAUUCGAUUCGGGGGCUACCCGAUCAUUCGUAUCUCUUGCGCUUAGCAAGAGAUUCAGUAGAGCUCCAGGGGAGCUGGAUUGUCCAUUAGAGGUUGAGAUAGCGGAUGAUAGGACCGUGAGGGUCGGCAGAGUGCAUAGAGGGUGUUCUCUUCAGUUAUUUGAUGAGCAGUUUUCAGUGGAUCUGGUACCUAUUCCCCUGCGAGGGAAUAAGGUUAUUGUGGGCAUGGAUUGGCUAAGCCCCAAUGGGGCGGUGAUUGAUUGUGAGCUUCAGCUAGUGAGGGUCCGCACUCCCAGUGGGGGAGAGUUAGUGAUUCAGGGCGAGAGGCCACAGCGGGGACCGACCUUUUGUUCCGCCGCAAGGGCGAGGCGCUAUGUUUAGCAGGGUUGCGCCGGUUUUGUAGCUUACGUCCUGGAUGCCCAGGAGAAGGGCAAGAUGACAGUUGAUGAUGUUCCUAUUAUUCGAGACUACCCGGACGUGUUUCCCGAGGAUUUGCCGGGGAUACCUCCUGAGAGGCAGGUCGAGUUCGGGAUCGACCUAAUUGCUGGUGCGGCUCCGAUAGCCAAAGCACCGUAUCGAUUAGCUCCCCCUGAGAUGCAGGAGUUGUCUACACAGCUGCAGGAGCUGUUAGACAAGGGUUUCAUUCGGCCGAGCAGUUCGCCUUGGGGAGCGCCGAUCCUGUUUGUGAGGAAGAAGGAUGGGUCGCAUCGUAUGUGUAUUGAUUAUCGGGAGUUGAAUAAGGUAACGGUGAAGAACCGUUACCCACUUCCGAGGAUAGAUGAUUUGUUUGAUCAGCUUCAGGGAGCGUCUUGGUUCUCCAAGAUCGAUCUACGCUCCGGAUAUCAUCAGAUGCGGGUUAGAGAUGAGGAUGUACAGAAGACUGCUUUCAGGACCAGGUAUGGUCAUUACGAGUUUGUGGUGAUGCCAUUUGGGCUCACCAAUGCUCCAGCCGCGUUCAUGGAUCUCAUGAACCGCGUGUGUAGGCCGAUGCUGGAUCGGUCAGUGAUAGUGUUCAUAGAUGACAUCUUGGUAUAUUCCAAGACGCAGGAGCAGCACGAGGAACACCUGCAGGAGGUACUGGAGGCUUUGAGGAGGGAGAGACUUUUCGUAAUGUUCUCCAAAUGUGAGUUUUGGUUGCGCGAGGUGCAGUUCCUUGGUCACCUCGUCAACCAGAAGGGUAUUUUGGUAGAUCCGGCCAAGAUUGAGGCCGUAAUGCAGUGGGAGGUCCCGAAGUCUCCAUCUGAGAUUCGGAGCUUCCUGGGGUUGGCAGGGUAUUAUCGGAGAUUUAUUCAGGAUUUCUCCAAGAUAGCAGUGCCGCUCACCCGACUGACCAAGAAGUCAGUGGUAUUUCGUUGGGGUCCGGAGCAGCAGACAGCGUUCGAGACCCUCAGGCAGAGAUUGUGCGAGGCUCCGAUCCUUACCUUGCCAGAGGGAGUAGAGGACUUUGUAGUCUAUUGUGAUGCCUCGAUCACAGGUAUGGGAGCAGUUUUGAUGCAGCGAGGCCAUGUGAUAGCUUAUGCCUCGAGACAGUUGAAGCCUCACGAGGCUAAUUAUCCUACCCAUGAUUUGGAGCUGGGGGCAGUUGUGUUUGCCCUCAAGAUUUGGAGGCAUUACCUUUAUGGGGUCCGUUGUACUAUUUACACGGAUCACAAGAGUUUGAGGUACCUUAUGGAUCAGCCGAGUCUGAAUAUGAGGCAGAGGAGGUGGUUGGAUGUGCUAAAGGAUUACGACUGUGAGAUCCUUUACCAUCCAGGGAAGGCCAACGUGGUGGCCGAUGCCCUGAGCCGCAAAGUGUCGGCGGCCCCUAUCAGGGAUCUAUGUUUGAGGAUGACAGUGAUCACUCCGUUGUUGGAGCGGAUCAAGGAGGCUCAGGUAGAGGGUCUCAAGGAGGAGAGACAGAAGUGUGAGAGGAUCGUGGGCCGAGUAGCCUCGUUUGAUUAUGAUAGUCGUGGUUUGCUGACGCUUCACGGGAGAGUGUGGGUACCGUACUGGGGUGGAGUACGGCAAGUGUUGAUGGAUGAGGCUCAUAAGUCUCGGUUUUCUAUCCACCCAGGGGCGACGAAGAUGUAUCGAGAUCUUCGACCUGAUUAUUGGUGGCCCUGCAUGAAGCGGGACGUCGCCUGGUACGUCGAGAGAUGCCUGACCUGCCGGAAGGUCAAGGCGGAGCACCAGAGACCUCACGGCAGGAUGCAGCCGUUAGACAUUCCCGUGUGGAAAUGGGAGGACAUCACCAUGGAUUUUGUCACCAAGCUUCCCAGGACCGCACGAGGAGUGGAUUCGAUAUGGGUAGUAGUGGAUCGGUUGACGAAGAGUGCCCAUUUUAUCCCGAUCCAGGAGAGUAUAUCGGCGGAGAAGUUAGCCGAUAUCUAUGUGCGUGAGAUCGUGGCACGUCAUGGAGUGCCGGUAUCAGUGGUGUCUGACCGAGAUGUCCGUUUCACAUCCAGAUUCUGGAAGCGGUUCCACGACGAGAUGGGUACUCGUCUCCAUUUCAGCACCGCUUUCCACCCUCAGACAGACGGGCAGAGCGAGAGGACGAUUCAGACUCUCGAGGACAUGCUUAGGGCAUGUGUCCUAGAUUUCGGUGGCAGUUGGGAUACGUAUCUUCCGUUAGCGGAAUUCUCGUAUAACAACAGUUAUCAUGCGAGCAUUGAUCGACCUCCCUUUGAGAUGCUGUAUGGGAGGAAGUGUAGGACCCCGAUUUGUUGGGGCGAGGUCGGUCAGCGGGUCAUCGGGAGCACGGAGGUGGUGCUCAAGACGACUGAGUUGAUCCAGCAGGUCCGUAGUAGACUGCAGACUGCUCAGAGUCGGCAGAAGAGCUACGCCGAUAGGAGGCGUUCGGACUUGGAGUUCCAGGUGGGGGAUAUGGUCCUUCUGAAGGUCUCACCUUGGAAGGGUGUCAUCAGGUUCCGGAAGAGGGGCAAGUUGGGCCCCAGAUUUAUUGGUCCUUUCAGGGUUUUGGCCCGGGUGGGUCGGGUUGCUUAUCGGUUAGAUCUUCCUGAGGAGCUUAGUCAGAUCCACAACACUUUCCAUGUGUCUCAGUUGAGGAAGUGUUUGGUGGAUGAGUCAGCAGUCGUUCCCCUAGAGGAUAUUCAGGUUGAUAGCAGCCUGAAUUAUAUUGAGAGACCGGUCGCGAUUCUGGACCGGAAGACCAAGACCUUGAGGAACAAGGAAAUUCAGUUAGUGAAGGUGCAGUGGCAGCACCGGAAGGGGUCUGAAUGGACGUGGGAGGCUGAGGAGGAGAUGAGGGAGCACUACCCAGAGAUAUUUGCAGAUUCAGCCGUAGCAGACUUCGAGGACGAAGUCUGAGAUAAGUGGGGGAGAAUUGUAACGACCCGUCUCCGGUAUGAUAAUUCCUUGGUAUUUAUUUUGAAGUUUUGCAAGAGGGACUCGGCGAGUUCAUAGCCUGACUCGCCGAGUAGGGUCGGGAUUUCGAGCACGUGUUAGCUGGCGACUCGGCGAGUCCAUAUUCUGGACUCGGCGAGUCUGUCCGUCUGGGAGAAACCCUAAAUCCCCGGGUUGCCCACUAUUUAAGCCACCUUAUAGCCCCCAAUCUCGCCUCCUUCACCCUCAAAAGCUGUGAGAAAACCCUAAUUCGUUCUUGAGUGAUUCUAAGUGAUUUUGUGUGCUAUUGUGAAGGCUUGAAGAAGGAGAAGAAGAAAGGAGCAAGGAGAAGGAUUGUAGAGCAGAGAUUCAAGGGAAAGCAAGAGCUCUUUGAGGUAUUCUUCAGUUUUCCUUCUCUUUUAUGCCUUAAAACCCUUUCUAGAUCUUGUUAAUGCCUUUCUCAAAGCUUUAUGUUGAUAUGGAAGCUCUCUUAUGCCGAGAUAACCUUAGAUCUGUUCAUUUAGGAGUUGUAGAGCCCAGAUCUAUUGCCUUUAUGGAGCUAUUUUGCAUAUUAACCCUAGAUCUACCCCUUUUAAGCAUCUUUUAGCCUUUAUUCCCUUGUUCAUGUGUUUGUACACGUAAAGUUGGAAACUUUACGUGGUAAAUCAGCUUAUUGGACUCAGAUCUAUCAUUUGUAUGUUUUGGAUUCGAGCAGAAUCGAGUGUAGAAUAGUUGCAUGGCGGUGACUCGGCGAGUCGAGUCGCGAGUCCCCGAUUUCUUCCUUUUGAGCGGUGUCGAGUGGGACCAGUGAGUAGUGGAGUGGACUCAGCGAGUUUGAGGGUAGACUCAGUAAUGGAGGGACUCGGCGAGUUGUUCAUACAACUCGGCGAGUCCAAGGCAAUCUUCUUAAACUCAAGAACAACUCGUCGAGUUGUUCAUAGGACUCGGCGAGUCGGAUGAAGAUUGUCUGAGUUCUUGGAUCGGGAGAGUACUCGUCGAGUCGAUGCCAUACUCGACGAGUAGCAGCGAGCAGGGUCGAGGAGUGAGAAUAGGGGCUCGGCGAGUUGGCGGCCCAACUCGGCGAGUCAGGUCAACUGUGGGUUGACUUUGACGGAGAGUUGACCUUGACCAACAGUUGACUUUGACCAAGGGUAAAAGAGUCAUUUUACCCAGUGCAGUGUUUAGUAUAUGAUUGAGUGUGUUUAUGGACUUGUAGCCGGGGAGAUACCGGAGCAUAAGCAGUUAGCCCUCAGAGCUAUUCACUCAGCAGCCAGUUCACGAGGUGAGUUUUCCUUCAGUAGGAACGGGUCUACGGCCACAAUGCCGGCCCGUUUAAUUAUCAAUAGUUCCGGACUUUGGUCUGAUGCAGUAGCUAGAGUGCUUGAUGUCUUUGUGAUUCAAGCAUAUUUGUGUUAUGUGCUCCGGACUCUGUUCCGAUACAGUAUGCAGUUUAUGUGUUUAUAAUAGUUGUUAUGUUUUAUGCUAUGCCAUGAUCGGUCAGUUCCGGACUUCGGUCCGAUGC